GACGAACGCUGGCGGCGUGCCUAAUACAUGCAAGUUGAGCGCUGAAGGUUGGUACUUGUACCGACUGGAUGAGCAGCGAACGGGUGAGUAACGCGUGGGGAAUCUGCCUUUGAGCGGGGGACAACAUUUGGAAACGAAUGCUAAUACCGCAUAAAAACUUUAAACACAAGUUUUAAGUUUGAAAGAUGCAAUUGCAUCACUCAAAGACGAUCCCGGGUUGUAUUAGCUAGUUGGUGAGGUAAAGGCUCACCAAGGCGAUGAUACAUAGCCGACCUGAGAGGGUGAUCGGCCACAUUGGGACUGAGACACGGCCCAAACUCCUACGGGAGGCAGCAGUAGGGAAUCUUCGGCAAUGGACGAAAGUCUGACCGAGCAACGCCGCGUGAGUGAAGAAGGUUUUCGGAUCGUAAAACUCUGUUGGUAGAGAAGAACGUUGGUGAGAGUGGAAAGCUCAUCAAGUGACGGUAACUACCCAGAAAGGGACGGCUAACUACGUGCCAGCCGCCGCGGUAA
rnacentral:rRNA from 1 species